rnacentral:rRNA from 1 species
AUUGAACGCUGGCGGCAGGCCUAACACAUGCAAGUCGAGCGAGCGGCGGACGGGUGAGGAAUGUCUGGGAAACUGCCUGAUGGAGGGGGAUAACUACUGGAAACGGUAGCUAAUACCGCAUACCAUCGGAUGUGCACAGAUGGGAUUAGAUAGUAGGUGGGGUAGCGGCGCACAUAGGCGACGAGCCCAAGCUGGUCUGAGAGGAUGACCAGCCACACUGGAACUGAGACACGGUCCAGACUCCUACGUGAGGCAGCAGUGGGGAAUAUUGCACAAUGGGCUCAAGCCUGAUGCAGCCAUGCCGCGUGUGUGAAGAAGGCCUUCGGGUUGUAAAGCACUUUCAGCGGGGAGGCGUUACCCGCAGAAGAAGCACCGGCUAACUCCGUGCCAGCAGCCGCGGUAAUUC